rnacentral:ncRNA from 1 species
UGGCAUUCCUGUGCAGUACGAGAGGAACCACAGGUACGAACCAAUGGCCCCAUACUUGUCCGAGCGGACAUUGGGAUGAAGCUACGUUCGUCGGAUUAUGC